GUGGCUAGAGUUCUAACUCCACCCAUGUGACUUACCUUUUGUUGCCUCGGUCAGAAGUUAUAGGUCUUCUUAUAGUAGAAUCCGGUGGACCAUUAAACUCUUGUUAUUUUAUGUAAUCAGAGCGUCUUAUUUUAAUAAGUCAAAACUUUCAACAACGGAUCUCUUGGUUCUGGCAUCGAUGAAGAACGCAGCGAAAUGCGAUAAGUAAUGUGAAUUGCAGAAUUCAGUGAAUCAUCGAAUCUUUGAACGCACAUUGCGCCCAUUAGUAUUCUAGUGGGCAUGCCUGUUCGAGCGUCAUUUCAACCCUUAAGCCUAGCUUAGUGUUGGGAAUCUACUUCUCUUAGGAGUUGUAGUUCCUGAAAUACAACGGCGGAUUUGUAGUAUCCUCUGAGCGUAGUAAUUUUUUUCUCGCUUUUGUUAGGUGCUAUAACUCCCAGCCGCUAAACCCCCAAUUUUUUGUGGUUGACCUCGGAUCAGGUAGGAAUACCCGCUGAACUUAAGCAUAUCAUAGGCCGGAGGAAACUCCCAACCCAUGUGAACUUACCUUUUGUUGCCUCGGCCGAAGUUAUAGGUCUUCUUAUAGCUUCUGCCGGUGGACCAUUAGACUCUUGUUAUUUUAUGUAAUCUGAGCGUCUUAUUUUAAUAAGUCAAAACUUUCAACAACGGAUCUCUUGGUUCUGGCAUCGAUGAAGAACGCAACGAAAUGCGAUAAGUAAUGUGAAUUGCAGAAGUCAGUGAAUCAUCGAAUCUAUGACGCACAUUGCGCCCCAUUAGUAUUCUAGUGGGCAUGCCUGGUCGAGCGUCUUUCAACUCUUAAGCCUAGCUAGUGUUGGGAAUCUACUCUCUUACGAAUUGUAGUUUCCUGAAAUAACACCGGCGGAGUGUAGUAUCCUCCUGAAGCGGGAGUACUUUUUUUCUCGCUCUUGUUAGGUUGGCUAUAAACUCCCACGCGCUAAACCCCAAUUUUUGGUGGUUGACCUUCGGAAUCAGUAGAAAACCCCGCUUGAUUAUACACAUCACUAUACGCGAAGAGGAAGAAAAUCU
rnacentral:rRNA from 1 species